UCUCCGUUGGUGAACCAGCGGAGGGAUCAUUACAGAGUUUUCACAACUCCCAACCCUUGCGAACCGUACCCAUUCUGUUCUCGUUGCUUCCGGCGGGGGGGACGGGGGGGGCCGAAAAGGGCUCCCCGCCCCGCACGCCGGGGGCGGUGGGCCCCACGCACCUUCAUUAAUCAACCACCAGCAACCGUCUGAGGAAAUAAACAAAAUAAAAAAAACCUUAAACAACGGAUUUCUUGGCUCUGGAAACGAUGAAGAACGCAGCAGAACGGAAGAUCAAAC
rnacentral:misc_RNA from 1 species